CUGCCCGUAUGCCUGGGGUAACCGUUGGAAACGAUGGCGAACACCGGAUAGGUGAAUUGAAGGCAUCUUUGAUUCAUUAAAGUUGGGAUACGACGCAUAUGGAUGAGCUUAUGGGGCAUUAGCUAGUUGGUGAGGUAACGGCUCACCAUGGCUAUGAUGCGUAGGCGACCUGAGAGGAUGACCGGCCACACUGGAACUGAGACACGGCCCAGACUCCUACGGGAGGCAGCAGUGAGGAAUUUUCGACAAUGGAGGAAACCCUGACCCAGCCACGCCGCGUGAGGGAAGAAGGCCUUCGGGUUGGAAAGCUCUGUUGGAAGGGAAGAA
rnacentral:rRNA from 1 species